AGAGGUGGUAUUUGUAAGUCGCUCUGGAUAAGAGCAUCUGCUAAAUGACGUAAA
rfam:Salmo salar isolate Sally breed double haploid chromosome ssa09, whole genome shotgun sequence.